CCUACGGGAGGCAGCAGUGAGGAAUAUUGGUCAAUGGGCGCGAGCCUGAACCAGCCAAGUAGCGUGAAGGAUGACUGCCCUACGGGUUGUAAACUUCUUUUAUAAAGGAAUAAAGUGAGGCACGUGUGCCUUUUUGUAUGUACUUUAUGAAUAAGGAUCGGCUAACUCCGUGCCAGCAGCCGCGGUAAUACGGAGGAUCCGAGCGUUAUCCGGAUUUAUUGGGUUUAAAGGGAGCGUAGAUGGGUUGUUAAGUCAGUUGUGAAAGUUUGCGGCUCAACCGUAAAAUUGCAAUUGAUACUGGCAGUUGUUAGUACAGUUUAGGGAAGCGGAAUUCCGGGGUGAGCCGGUAAAUGCUUAGAUAAUACGAAGAACUCCGAUUGCGAAGGCAGCUUACUAAACUGCCACUGACAUUGAUGCUCGAAAGUGUGGGUAUCAAACAGGAUUAGAUACCCCAGUAGUC
rnacentral:rRNA from 1 species